CAUCUGUCAAGUUAUUGUGAUUUUUUUUUCCUUUUCUUUUUCCAGGACAAGCUGCCCAGGCUGUGAAUUUCCCUUUGGUGGAGGAUCAGCAAUGUAGCCUGGAAGGGCAGUGUGUAAAUUACUAUGUUGCACUUGUUUUGAUCUGUGUCAAACCUCUGGAUAAUUAGAUCAACAUCAAAUGAGAUGCCAAUUGACAGCCUAACAGUCAGCUAACCACAGCAGCCUAAGAGAUGUCAAGGACACCAUCCACUUACUCAUGGAAACAAAUUUCUUACCUGAUGAGGUGGUCAUCAAAGGACUUGAAGAAUGGACUGGAAAAGCUGUUUCCAUGGAAAAUGCCUAUGCGCGAUUCCUUUCAUCAUGGAGAAGCUGCUGCACAUCAGCUUCCACAUUUUUCUUGACAGAAUGAGACCUUAAUCCAAUGGCAAGAAGGCCAAGGUAAUUGGAGAUCUCAUUCUGCUGCAGCCUUUGUUCACCUUUGCAGCCAAUGAGAUUCUAUCAUUUU